AGCGUAGACGGUGUGGCAAGUCUGAUGUGAAAGGCAUGGGCUCAACCCGUGGACUGCAUUGGAAACUGUCAUACUUGAGUGCCGGAGGGGUAAGCGGAAUUCCUAGUGUAGCGGUGAAAUGCGUAGAUAUUAGGAGGAACACCAGUGGCGAAGGCGGCUUACUGGACGGUAACUGACGUUGAGGCUCGAAAGCGUGGGAGCAAACA
rnacentral:rRNA from 1 species